rnacentral:tRNA from 1 species
GGGGAUAUGGCGAAAUUGGUAGACGCUACGGACUUACAUUUUUUAAAUCAUGAGGGUUCAAGUCCCUCUAUCCCCA